AUUGAACGAUAGCGGGAUGCUUUACACAUGCAAGUCGAACGAGUGGCGGAAGGGUGAGUAAUAUAUCGGAACGUGCCCAGUAGCGGGGGAUAACUACUCGAAAGAGUGGCUACUACCGCAUACGAUUGGAGCGGACGAUAUCGGAUUAGCUAGUUGUGGGGGUAAAGGCUGACCAAGGCAACGAUCCGUAGGUGGUUUGAGAGGACGACCAGCCACACUGGAACUGAGACACGGGCCAGACCCCUACGGGAGGCAGCAGUGGGGAAUUUUGGACAAUGGGCGAAAGCCUGAUCCAGCCAUCCCGCGUGUAUGAGAAGGCCUUCGGGUUGUAAAGUACUUUUGGCAGAGAAGCGGUAUCUGCAGAAUAAGCACCGGCUAACUACGUGCCAGCAGCCGCGGUAAUAC
rnacentral:rRNA from 1 species